rnacentral:rRNA from 1 species
CGAACGGGUGAGUAACACGUGGCGAAUCUGCCCUGCACUCUGGGACAAGCCCUGGAAACGGGGUCUAAUACCGGAUAUGACCGUCUUGGGCAUCCUUGACGGUGUAAAGCUCCGGCGGUGCAGGAUGAGCCCGCGGCCUAUCAGCUUGUUGGUGAGGUAGUGGCUCACCAAGGCGACGACGGGUAGCCGGCCUGAGAGGGCGACCGGCCACACUGGGACUGAGACACGGCCCAGACUCCUACGGGAGGCAGCAGUGGGGAAUAUUGCACAAUGGGCGAAAGCCUGAUGCAGCGACGCCGCGUGAGGGAUGACGGCCUUCGGGUUGUAAACCUCUUUCAGCAGGGAAGAAGCGAGAGUGACGGUACCUG